AUUCGUCAUGUCUGUCUGUCUGUCUGUCCGUCCGUAUGUCACAGCCACUUUUUGCCGAAACUAUAAGAAGUAUACUGUUGAAUCUUGGUAAGUAGAUGUAUUCUGUGAACCGCAUUAAGAUUUUCACACAAAAAUAGAAAAAAAAACAAAACAUUUUGGGGGUUCCCCAUACUUGGAACUGAAACUCAAAAAUUUUUUUUUUCGUCAAACCCAUACGUGUGGGGUUUCUAUGGAUAUGUGUAUAACGUAUUCAAAAAUGAUAUUUAGGUUUCUAAUAUAAUUUUUUUCCAAACUGAAUAGUUUGCGCGAGAGACACUUCCAAAGUGUAUACGUACGUAUGUAUGUAUGUAUAUACUUUAUUGUACAUAGAAAUAAAAACACGAGAAACACAGUUACAGAGUGCAUUAAAUACAACAAAGGCGAACUUAUCCCUGUAUGGGAACUCUUCCAGUUAACCUUUGAGGAAAUGAGUA